AAGGCCUUAAGUUAAUUUAAACUAUGGGCCUUCAAAGCCUGAAAUGGGCCUCUAAGCCUAGGUCUUG
rnacentral:tRNA from 1 species